AUCGACCUUUGCUGGGAAAUGAUGGGACCCCGAGAGGAUGUUCGAGCGUCGCCGGCGGUCGGCGGCGUGAAAACGGGGUCUAUUGUUCUGACUGUAUGGCAAAACAAAUUCCAGAGAUAUUUACACCUCCAGUGAAUGAACAAAAGUCCAUCCCAGCCAUUUAUCUUGGGAGUCUGCAAAAAUCACACCUGCCCAAGACAAGAUUUUGGUUUCUUUGAUAGUUGCUGGUACUAGUUACAAACAAUGAUCUUUGUCUAACUAAUAAAUGAGUUCCACUAAGACGAAGUUGAGCCGAUGAGUCUGUUUCCACGCUGUUUGACUCUAUUAAGAAUGCGACUGGUUGCCUUGGUUUGACAAAUUGCCGUGUUCCCCUCAAAACAA